rnacentral:rRNA from 1 species
CCUACGGGCGGCAGCAGUGGGGGAUAUUGCACAAUGGGGGAAACCCUGAUGCAGCGACGCCGCGUGGGUGAAGAAGUAUUUCGGUAUGUAAAGCCCUAUCAGCAGGGAAGAAAGAAGACGGUACCUGACUAAGAAGCCCCGGCUAACUACGUGCCAGCAGCCGCGGUAAUACGUAGGGGGCGAGCGUUAUCCGGAUUCACUGGGUGUAAAGGGAGCGUAGACGGCCGUGCAAGCCAGGAGUGAAAGCCCGGGGCCAACCCCCGGGACUGCUCUUGGAACUGUGGGGCUGGAGUGCGGGAGGGGCAGGCGGAAUUCCUGGUGUAGGGGUGAAAUGCGUAGAUAUCAGGAGGAACACGGGCGGGGAGGGCGGCCUGCUGGACCGGGACUGAGGUUGAGGCGCGAAAGCGUGGGGAGCGAACAGGAUUAGAUCCCCCAGUAGUC